rnacentral:lncRNA from 10 species
CAGGGCCUACCUGUGCAUCCACAUCUGGCCCUUUGGAAACAUGCAAUCCCAUCAACUGGGUGGACCAAUCUUAUCUUGCCAGGAGUAACUAAUUGUGGGUAUCUGUCGCCAUACAAGCAUAUCAGCAUUGCCCUUUCCCCUAGUUUUGCAGCCAGUAUUUAACAUCUCCUUCCGCCUCCUUCCAUGCAGGGGGAGCAGAGGCACAAAUAAACUUGCCCAAUAUAGCUUAAGGUGCUACCUUACUUUCAAGGACCAGCAGUAUAUCACAUGUACAGCCCACACACGCUGAAUUAAACCAUCCAAAUCUCCAGAGACCUGUUUGCAAAUACUGCAAAAACCCUUCGACAUAAGGCCUCUACUUCACCACUAAUCACCAAAGCUGCCUUGCUGAAUACAGUAAGUCUGCAUGAUGACCACUGUCACAGACAAUGGCAGUCCACAGGAGGACUGCCUUUCAGCUAUGCUUUACAACUUGCAAGAGUGGCAAAUCUUUGCAAAAGCACUUUCACUCAACCCAAAUAUUGCUUAUUUAGAAUCCAACAUCAUGAUCUACCCAAACAAGUGGCCCGUUCUCCCUUUCUUGGUUAAACGGAUGAAGAAAUAAAAAUGCCAUUUUCAUUUGUAAA